GAUGAACGCUGGCGGCGUGCCUAAUACAUGCAAGUCGAGCGAACAGAUGAGGAGCUUGCUCCUCUGACGUUAGCGGCGGACGGGUGAGUAACACGUGGAUAACCUACCUAUAAGACUGGGAUAACUUCGGGAAACCGGAGCUAACACCGGAUAAUAUAUUGAACCGCAUGGUUCAAUAGUGAAAGACGGUUUUGAUGUCACUUAUAGAUGGAUCCGCGCCGCAUUAGCUAGUUGGUAAGGUAACGGCUUACCAAGGCAACGAUGCGUAGCCGACCUGAGAGGGUGAUCAGCCACACUGGAACUGAGACACGGUCCAGACUCCUACGGGAGGCAGCAGUAGGGAAUCUUCCGCAAUGGGCGAAAGCCUGACGGAGCAACGCCGCGUGAGUGAUGAAGGUCUUCGGAUCGUAAAACUCUGUUAUUAGGGAAGAACAAAUGUGUAAGUAACUAUGCACGUCUUGACGGUACCUAAUCAGAAAGCCACGGCUAACUACGUG
rnacentral:rRNA from 1 species